rnacentral:tRNA from 1 species
GAGGGUAUAGCUCAGUGGUAGAGCACAUGCCUUGCAUGCAUGAGGUCUGGAGUUCAAUCCCCAGUAACUCCA